UUCAUGUGCUAGAGUCCUGGAGACAAAUAAUAGGUGAAGAACAAGGAGGAUGAUAUGUAAGGCUGUGUCAUAUCACAGCAAACCAGAUAUGUACAUUUCCCAUCAUGCACUGUGGCCUACAAACAUGGCCGCCAUGGACUGCAAUUCCCCGGACAUUCAUUCAUUCUAAUCACACACACCUGCAUCCAAUCUCAUACACACACCACAGUUUAAAAGGACUUUAGAGGCAUUCACUCUUUGCCAGGUAUUGAGUGUUAUCACCAUACCAAGCGUUUGUACCCUGUUCCUCGUUUUGAUUCAUGUUCUUUGAUCUUGUUUCUUGUUUCUGGUUUCUCAUUCUCGAUUCUUGCCUUGCCUAGUUUAUGCCUGCUUGCUGAUCGCCUGACCCAUUGCCUGUUUUUGACCAUGCUAUUGUCUCAUGAUUUGGAUUUGUCUGCCUGCCUCUCUUUAUUAAAAGCUCUUAUCUGCACUUGCAUCCAUCCUAACCUUCAUUAUAUGGAAUACGUGACAGGUUGGAGCUGAAAAGGAGUUCUGAUAAAAUAUUUAUUCACUUCAUGUAUAUAAAUCUUUUCCUUCAUAUAUAGAAAAUGGUAGAAAAAGUAAGCUGCAAUGUAAGAAGCAAGAAUGGUGUGAUGUUGCAACAGAUUUAUGUCCCUGUAAACAAUUUCAUGGUUGGAUUGCUAGAGCAGAUCUUAUAAACUGUCUGUAUGCGGGCAUCUGAUGGAGGGCCUUAACUGAUACAUGAUAGAACAGGGAAGAGCCACAGUGCCUGGCUGUAAAUGGAGAUAGUGCUGCAUUCUUUCUUUCAUUCUGUUCGAGAUAUGCUGCGGUAAUCCUCAGGAGAGAUUAGUUUAGCUCACCUACCUAACAGGUAAGAUAGGGAUUAUUGAUUCCUCCAUCUUAGCAAAGGAUUAAUGCUUAGUUAUGUGCUACAACAGAUGACUUUUUGAGCACCCCAAAAAGUCAUUUAUAUGGGAAUUGCCAUCUGUUAUCUGAACAACACACUGUUUCCGAUUGCAGUGAUAAAACUAGCAGAAUGGUGCAAUCAUUUACCAUUUUUCAUUUACUUUUCUCCAAUGAAGGUGAAUUGGCAUGUCUACGGUUCUCAAUCUCUGACUGUGACUCAUUCGUCUGAAAUGCCACUUUCAGUGAGAGCUUUUCACUGAUCCUCCUCUGCUUUUCUGAAUAUAUACACAAUAAAAGUAAAUGUGUGUGAAUGACCAUGUCUUGUUACUAAAUAAAAUGUUCUAAAUUUUCC
ensembl:lncRNA